AAAGGUAGCGCAAUCACUUGUUCUUUAAAUGAGGACUAGUAUGAACGGCAUCACGAGGGUUACACUGUCUCCCCGCUCUACUCAGUGAAACUGAUCCCCCCGUGAAGAAGCGGGGAUAAAAAUAUAAGACGAGAAGACCCCAUGGAGCUUAAAACUCAGUCCUACCUGCCACCUAAAAAACCUAGAAACCACGCAGUACUAAUGACUAGUUUUCGGUUGGGGUGACCGCGGAGAAAAACAAAUCCUCCACGACGAAGGGACCUACUCACCUAAUCCAAGAGUUACACCUCUAAGAAUCAACACAUUGACCAACUGAUCCAAUUUUUUGAUCAACGGACCAAGUUACCCUGGGGAUAACAGCGCAAUCCAUUUCAAGAGCUCAUAUCGACAAAUGGGUUUACGACCUCGAUGUUGGAUCAGGGUAUCCAAGUGGCGCAGCCGCUACUAACGGUUCGUUUGUUCAACGAUUAAAACCCUACGUGAUCUGAUUCAGAC
rnacentral:rRNA from 1 species